AAAAAAAGUUUUUCCAUUAGGUUAGGGGGUGGAUAAUAUUUUGAGACUAGGGAUGAAAACUUUCCAAAAUAAAAAAACCCUAAAAGUUUCUCCUCAUAUUUUUGGCUAGGAGUCGGCAACCAUCCAACCUUCCAUUUUUCUUUCUCCUCCAUAUCCAAAAAACCAUCGGGAAUCUAUGGCCUCUUCUUCACUGAAACAGCUAGCCGACCAAACGACCAGCAACAAAAUAGAUCCAAAAACGACCUUCAAAAUGCAGCUGGAACAGCCACUCAAAUAGGCAACUACCUAACCCCAACUCGCCUGAAAUCACCAUUGGUCCUGCCAUCUUCUUCCCCAACUCAACAACCACAAAAGUCCCUCCUUCGUUUCCUCCUUUUUUCGGCGACGAAUAGCCGCAAAUCUUAACCAAUAACCACCAGACCCACCUCCAUCCUCCCCUUUCUUCUCCAACAUCAACAGAAAAAAAUUUAACCAUCAUCUUAGAACAAAAAAAAAGAAAACAAAUCCAUUUCACCACAAAAAUCUUAUCGUUUUCUCUUUUUCCAGUGAAAAGUCGUCGAAAACGAUCCAACAAUCAGACCACCGCCUGUCCUUUCACUUUUCCCCUUAACGAUUCUAUAUUUUUUGCAGGUGAACUAUAUCAACAAAUUUGUGAGCAAACAACAGCAGUAACCAAAAUUUCUAAGGAGCAACAAAACCAGUCACGAGGAAGAGUGACAACAACAACAAAUCUCUGACGGAUACGCAGUGUGUGAUCUGAAGCAUGGAUAGCAAUUGUGUUGUCAAAUGGAUGACAACACUCAUGAAACCAUACCUGCAAGGCUAUAUGGAACUGACUGAACUUGAAUAACGAAGGAUUUUUUUUCCAAUUUAUGAAAGCACACUUUAAGUGUUAAUUUAAAACACUCACUUCCCCAUGAAAAUAUGUCAUACUAUCCAGACUCUACUAAAUAAAAAUAUAAUUUAGAAAUGGUUAUUUUUUAUGGGUUUGAAGCAGUCAGAAAUGAAAAAAUGAAGUACAAAAUUCCAAUUUUUAAAGAGUCAUCCUUUUCCCAAUAGUUUUUUCAGUUUAAACUUAUGGUAGAAAUCUGACUUGGGUACUUUGUUCAUAUUCCCAAAAUUUUCUUGGAUAAGUAUAUUUGGAAUAGACUGAUCAGAAACAAAAUUAAAAAUUAGUCCAGAUUUUAGACCGGUUAUAGCGACAAAUUCUUUUAAUCCAAAGUGUAACUCUGUACCAUUUAUGUUUAUGAUGAACAUAUCAUCUCUGAUAUUUUCAGUUUCAAGAAGAAAAAAUAUGACGCAACAAUUGACAUUGAAUUUUUAUGUUAUGUAAAUCAUAAAAAAACAAAUGGUAUUUCUUGUAGAAAUUGUUGGGACCUAUCUUGAACGAGGAAGGUCAACAGAUCAGCGAACACAUUCAUGUUUGUACAUGAAGACAAAUAUGUUUGUACCUUCUUCUCCUAUAAAAUUGGUAAAACUAAAUUAAAACCUUUAACAUAAUAUGUAAUUUCAUAGAAAAAUCAUUAAUACGAUGCCAUAUUAAUGGACAACCAACUCAAUUCAUACACAAAUCAUACAACUAAUACAUCAGUCCAUAGAUAAUUCAUACAAUAUUUAUUCAUAUUAGAAUUUUUUAAAAAACUAAUAUGUGAAUUUCAAACUACAAAAUAAAAGUCAUACGGGAUCAAUAAAUCAAUUCGUACAUCAAAGUCAAACACAAAUUAUACAGUGGUAAUGCAUAUUAUAAUUGUCAAAAUUCUACGAUAUGCCUAUAAAUUCGAAGUGUUCGCAACCAAUUUCAAUACUUUUUCAUUUUUUUGAUCUUUUAUUUUUUAAUUCGUCCACAAAAUCAGAUUCUGACGAUGUUCAAAUUUCUUUUUCCUUCCUCUUCUUCCCUUUUUCCUUUGCCUCUUUUUUGUUUUUUUUAAUCUUUGAUUUAACAGAACUAGCCGUCUCUUUUUCCAUAUGAUUUUUGCGGUUGAAUUUGAGUCAAAAUAUUGAAUGAAGGAACAUGAAAGUCAUCAGAUGAUGACUCCUCAACCAAUAUUCUACUUUUACUGGGUGUUCCACUAACUUUGCUCGACAUUCUAUACGAACUUAACAAAAAAUCAUUUAUCAAGAUUUUAAAAAAUUGUUGAAUCGUGUUGUGUAAUAGAAAAUGUGGAUGUUUGAGUUAUGAAUUUGGAGAUGAAAUUGAUCUAUGAGGCGUGAUGGGGAUGGGGAUGAAUCAGGCAUGAUGGGAAGGUGAUGAGUGAGGCGCGUUUAGGGAUUGAUGUGUGAGGCGUAAUAGGUACAGUGAUCAAUCAGACCAUUCGGGAUGAUAAUGAUUGAGGCGUGUUGGGGAAGUUGAAUGCUGUUUGUGUUGGGUGUGAUGGAGGUGAGUAGUUAUUGGGCGAUGGUAAAGUAGAGAUUUAAUUAAAAUCAUAUCCCUAAUAUUUAGUUUUUGUUUUGAAAAGGUAACUCUAUAAUGUAAAAUUUGAUUAAUAAUAAUUUAUUAUUUAUUUUGAAAAUUGUAAAAGGUAACUGUACUAUUAAUUUGUAAAAAUUUAAAGAGUUUUAUUUUAAGAAAGGUAACUGAAAAAAUAAAAAUAAAUAUGUAGACAUAUUAAUUAGUAUUGAAAUAAUUACCUAUAUUUUAUUUUUAAUUAAAUAUAUUUUUAUUUGAUAUGAUAUAACUCGAUAAUAAUCUGCUAUAAGUAAUUUAUUUUUAAAGAGUAUUUAUAACUCGAUAUAUAUCGUCUUAAAUAUGUAUGGGUGUUAUUUUAAUUUCUAAACAAAAUGAUUCAACACCAAUGCAUAUAACCUGGCCCAACCCAUUUGCUCUUCACGAAAGAAACCCAUCAACAAUACAGCGCACAACAAAAGUGAUAUCGUCUUCUUCACCCAAAAAUCUUGUCAAAUCCAAAAAUCCACCAGCAAAACUUGGCGCAUCAGUAUAUGCCCAUACGCCUGUCAUCCUCGUGUCUAAUCGUCUCUUUUUUUCCCUAUUUCGCGCAGCCACAGGCUGCACAACAUCUUUCUCUAUUUGCCUUUGAAAAAAGAGAGAUUUUAAAUUUUUGCUCAACGGUUUCCCCCCUAAAUUGACCUCAACUUUUCCUCCAUAUAAACUACCCUUAACCAUCAACCAAGGGAGGAUCUUAGAGGUUUUGGAGUUUGAGUUCCUAAGAGAAAUAUCCACUUCUACGCUUUUAAAAUUUUAUAACUAGUUUUCUGAGUAUGAAUACUGAAAAGAUCGCCUCUUAGAUUUUCUUGGUUUGUUGUUCGUAUUCGAAUUUCGUGCUGGAAGAAUUGUUGCCCUUCUCAAGCUUGACGUCCCAGCUCGAUGCUCCAAGAGAGCCUUGGAAUGUGUUGUUGUCUUAGCUUUGGAUCUGCCCGGCGGAUGCAAGCUUUGCCUAAUCGUUAAUCUUAAUUCGUCUAAUUUGAUAUCGUUGACUCUGUAGCUUUAAUAUAUAUUGUGGGUAUUGUUAUGAGUUUAUCCCUUAAAUGUUUGUCUCAUCGAGUUGGUACUUAGCCUAGCUCGAAAGAUUUCUUUUCUGUCUUUUAAAUGAUAUUAUGAUUCCUGUAUUGAGUUAAUUCAUUGGAGAUUUCUAAGACAUGUACUCCUCCCCCCUUUUUCCUUUGUUCGAAGUCGGGAAACUUUUUAUAUCCCAUGAUUGUCCCAUUUGUAGUCUAUUGUUGUAUUAGAUAGAAAGCUUGUUGUAGUUGUGGCCCCAUUUAAUCUUGACUAGCAUUUAUUUGUCACUAGCUACUUCUCAAACUCUAUUCUUAGUCAAUGACAGGUUACUGCCUUGAUUUUC